rnacentral:misc_RNA from 1 species
CGAGAAGGGUUUUAUUAUUCUCUAUACUCGAUCCCACAUACAGAGACAGAGAGUUUCGAAGAUGGCGUGGAGGCAAAUAAUCACUAACACGAGGAUAGUUUCACUCCCACAAACAAAUUCAACGCCUGGUUUCUCCAGAUUCUUCUCCAAAUCUCCAGCUUACAUCGGUAACAAUUUCUUCGCGUACACUUUCUUGAGUUUGAUUUGAUUUCCAAUCCUUUUUGGUCUCUCUAAUUGGAAAUCGAUAUUUUGUUGGGUUUUGUAGAUUGUGUAGUUUACAUUGUGAGCUUAACCGGCACAAAUAGCUGUAAAUAGCUACCUUAGGAGGUUGGGUUUUUAAUUUGUUCUCAUUUUAUUGUCUCUGUAUUUUUCUUGAAAAAUGGGAAAGUGAAGAACUGCUUCAAGAAAAAGUUUACACGUUUUGAGAGAACCAUCCUUAAAGUGGAUGUUUUACUUCAUGAUGCCUGGAAAAUUGAAUUUAUUCUGUUGCUUUUUUGCUUUUAAGCAGAAUAUUUGUUGUUUUUGAUGAAUGAGAACAUUAGAAAUGUGUGUGAGAGUGUAUUAUUGUUCUUGCAGUGAAGGUUGGAAUUCCCGAGUUUCUGAAUGGAAUAGGGAAAGGAGUUGAAGCUCAUACAGCCAAGCUUGAAUCUGAGAUUGGUGACUUCCAGAAACUUCUUGUUGCACGAACCUUGAAGCUCAAGAAGAUGGGCAUUCCUUGCCAACAUGUAAUCACUCUCCACUCUCUGCAUCCUUUAGUGUAUAUAUGGGGGUAUCUGUAUCUGUUUGGUAUAUGUCAGUUAUGGUUUAUCAUUUUUUUUUUCUUUUUAUUGAUCUGAAGUUCUCGAAAUUGGGGAAUGAGGAUUGCCAUGGUGAAUUUCAAUUAAAAAUUCUAUGUAUCGUUUGGUUCACCUUCUUAAGGAUGUUGCUUCUUACUCCAGAAAUUGUACUAUCCACAUUGCUGAUUGCAGCCAAAAUGAUUUUUGUUGUCUUCUUGUGGCCUCAGUUGAUCAUGUUGAUUGUCUAAUGCAUGUUAUCUUUUAGAUUAGUGUCAAAAUAUCUCUUAUCCAUAAGCUGCAAUGAGAAAGGUGAAUGAAAAAUAUUUCUUUCCUAAUAUUUUAUUGGAUUAAAUGAAAUUGAAUAACAAGAUUAAUGGCUCAUCUUUCCUUUGCAUAAUUACAUCGUCCACAGGUAGAGCAGCAUAGGAUCUGCAACUCUCGAGUAAUUUUCUCAUGUCAUUUGUGACUUGUGAAUUUACUUUAAUCAGAGUUGAAGAUACCAUACUUCUAGUGGUGGUUCCUAUGAGUUCAAGAUCAAGUUCUUGCCUCUACUUGCUGUUCACUUUCUUUUGUCAUAGAUGGAAGAGCAUGCAUGAAAAUUUUGUGUAGUUAUUUUGUAACAUGUAUCUGCACAUUGCAUGACAUAACUGAUUGACAUCAGAUUUGGGUUUUGCAGAGGAAGCUGAUAUUGAACUAUGCUCACAAAUAUAGGGUGGGUCUCUGGAGGCCUAGAGAUGACCUUGUGAAAGCAAAAUAGUUUUCUCGAGUUUGCUAGUUCUUUGGGGAUUAGAAGAUUUUUGUUUGCAGCAAACCAUAACUGAUUGACAUUUGUUUGUGGUUCUGUGGUUUCACAAUUGUAGUUGCAUCACUUUAUUCAAAUUUUUUGAACAUUUUUGUAUUAAUGCGUGAUAUGUUUAAUUUGUCGACUAACAUCUUAAUUUUGUCAAAAUCCAAA